CUCCCGUGGCCUCUGGCCGCCGUGCUGUGCCGCGCGCUCUGUUGCCGCCGACGCGCACUCUCAGCCGCAACAACAGCGUCACCUGUGCCUCGGCGUCGCCGCGCUCGGCUCAGACGACGGCGGUCCUUGGCAACGGAUUGCGACUGGGAGAUCCACGAUGUUAUGAGCCAACCACCGUAACAGAGGACAGAAAGAAGUGCAGCGGUAGAAGAAUGUGGAAGUUACCGUUCAGUGAACGUGUUAACGACGGUGGGAACUGUGGUGUCCAAGAAAUUUCUUAAGUGUAUGUUUUGUAGGUACACGCGUCUCAAGGAGAAGACUGAAAACGUGGUUGCUCUUUGGAAAACUAAUAGUCGCAUGUGAAAGAAUGACAAGCUUUGUUGUGAAGUGACUUUUUUUUACGAUGCUCCAAAUAUUCAGCUAGUUUAGUGCUUCAGCUGUGACUCGUAGACGUCUGAAACAAACGAGACUUAAAUUCUGUUCAAAGGCUACUCAGAUAAUGAAGGUACAUCUUGUUCACUAGAUUUCUGAUACUAAUUGUGUAUCUCACGUUAAAUCUGAUCUUCAGAGUGUGAUUAGUAUGAAUGUUUACAAUGGUCCAAUUCUCUAUCGAAGAUGAAGUUACCAUCGCCAAUGACGUAAAGGUGGAGAUGUUUUAAUGUUAGGUUUUGCAAAUUCUCCUUGUUACAGAUAUCCUGGUGCUUUGAGGGUCAUUGACUCCUUUUGGUAUGUAUAAUUUCAGCUCAAAGCACGAACAAAAACUUUGAUAAUCACGAGCAUAAAUUUAGAUAUAAUGAUACAAUUUUUUCAGGACUCCUGUCGUGCAACCACUGUCUCACUAUCAAUGAAUCUGCUCUAUAUGGAACAAAUGUAUUAUAAUCGAAUUAGUAAUGUAUGUCACCCAUAAAAUGAAUACCUUAGAAGUAUAGUAUUUCCAAAGCUCAUUUCAUUUACAAGUCCACUUGAUUUUAAGUUCAAUAGGCAAUUAGUUGGUGGCCAGAGUGAGCUUUUGAAGGGAAGGUAGCAAGAAUAGCCUCAACAGUAGAGAAAUCACUUUGCCAUCCACUAGGUGCAGCUGAAGGUAGCAUCGUAAAACUUAAAUCGCUGUAGUAGCUUCAGUAUGUACUUAAAUAUGCUCUCUUGCAAGAUCGUUAGUGAAUAAAAACAAGUCAUGUUAA